AGAGUCAUUAAAUGGAAUCAUUCUAAGUUAGGGACCAUCUAUAAAUUCCAUUCAUAGUAAAGUGACUUCAAAGAUGAUUGCAAAGCACAUUUUUCAGUAAACAAGUCUCUCCUUCCAUCAUACAGUAAGUCUUUAUUUCCUGCAUAUUAUAUGUCUAUAUUCUUCUAGAUCCUGGGAAUAUAGCAGUAUUUUGUUUGUUUGUUUUUUUAACAGUUUGAAUAAAAUUUAAUUUGGAUUCUUAGUGUGUGUCUUUUUUUUUUUUUACUUUAUUUUACUUUACAAUACUGUAUUGGUUUUGCCAUACAUUGACAUGAAUCCACCACGGGUGUACAUGAGUUCCCAAACAUGAACCCCCCUCCCACCCCAUAUCAUCUCUCUGGAUCAUCCCCGUGCACCAGCCCCAAGCAUCCUGUAUCCUGCAUCAAACAUAGACUGGCGAUUCAUUUCUUACAUGAUAGUAUACAUGUUUCAAUGCCAUUCUCCCAAAUCAUCCCACCCUCUCCCUCUCCCUCAGAGUCCAAAAGUCCGCUCUACACAUCUGUGUCUCUUUUGCUGUCUUGCAUACAGGGUCAUCAUUACCAUCUUUCUAAAUUCCAUAUAUAUGUGUUAGUAUACUGUAUUGGUGUUUUUCUUUCUGGCUUACUUCACUCUGUAUAAUCGGCUCCAGUUUCAUCCAUCUCAUUAGAACUGAUUCAAAUGUAUUCUCUGGGAAUAUAGCAGUAUUUUGGAUUGACUGGACAGGGAAGGUCUCACUAAGGUGACACCUGAGUAAAGAUAUGAGUUCUUCCCUGGUGGCCCAGUAGUAAUGAGUCUGCCUGCCAAUGCAGGGGACUCCAGUUCAGUCCCUGGGUCAGGAAGAUCCUUCAUGCCACGGGACAACUAAGCCUUGCAUCACAACUGCUGGGCCUGUGCUCUGGAGCCACACACUCACGAGCCUGCACUCAGCCACGAGAGAGAAGCCACCACAGGGAGAAUCCCGAGCAUUGCAGUCGGGAGUAGCCCCCUCUUGACAAAAUAGAGAAAGCGUGUGCAGCGUGAAGACCUGGCUCAGCCUAAAUAGAUACAGAUUUGAAAGAUGCAAGAGGGUGUGGUUUACAGCUUGAGGGGAAGAAGGGCUGGCCAGAGAGAAGAGUCAAUGUGGUUGUUUACAUAUAUGGGUUGAUUCCCUUUGGUCCAUGCGUUGUGAAGGGAGACAAUAGUUACAUAAGGAUUGGCUGUGUUCAUGACUGAAACUUGUUGCAGUGGACUGUGAGUUUGUGCCCCCCUCCUGGCCCCCAAAAUCAUACAUUGAAACAUCCCAAUGUAAAGGGUUCUCUAAGAGGUGAUGAGGGUGGAGCCCUAGUGAAUGGGAUUUGUCCCCUUACAAGAAGAGGCUAGAGAGCUCUUUUGCUCUUUACUUCCCUCUCCGGAUACAAUAGAAGUUGGCAGAUUGUAGCCUGGAGGAAGGUUUCUCUGGAACUGCACCAUGCUGACACCCUGAUCUCAGGUCUCCAGCCUCAAGAACUGUGAGAAAUGAAUUUCUGUUGUUUAUAAGCUACCUAGAUUAUGGUAAUUUGUUAUAGUAGCCCCAAAAGGGCUGAGACACCUAUAUAAUUAACUAGUUGGUUUGGAAAGGUAAAAUACUGUGAAGAAAUCUCAGAAGUGUUGGUCUAAAAUGGCUAUAUAAACACAUUUGACUGUUGUAUUUCAAGGCUUUGUUAAAUUCAGGACAACCACUAUUUUAUCAAAUAACUGAUAUAACUGCAUUUCCUUUUGAAGCAAUUAUUUUUUAUGACAAAUAAUAGAAAAGCUACUCUGUAGAGAGAAAAAAGUAUAGGUAUGAGACAGUGAUCAAUAAAUUCAGGUAAAAUAAAUGAAGAGAGUAAGUCUCAUGUUGAGUAUUCUUCACUUCAGUCACUCAGUCAUGUCCAGCUCUUUGUGACCCCAUGUACUGCAACAUGCCAGGUUUCUCUGCCCACUGUCUCCUGGAGCUUGCUCAAACUCAUGUCCAUCGAGUCGGUGAUGCCAUCCAGCCAUCUCAUCAUCUGUCAUCUUUUUCUCUUCCUGCCUUCAAUCUCUCAACAUCACGGUCUUUUCAAAUGAGUCAGCUCUUUGCAUCAGGUGGCCAAAAUAUUGGAGCUUCAGCAUCAGUCCUUCCAAUGAAUAUUUAGGGUUGAUUUCCUUUAGGAGUGGCUGGUUUGAUCUCCUUGAGUCUCCAAGGGACUCUCAAGAAUCUUCUCUAGUACCACAGCUCAAAAGCAUCAAUUCUUUUGUACUUAGCCUUCUUUAUGAUCCAGCUCACAUCUGUACAUGACUACUGGGAAAACCAUAACUUUGACUAUAUGGACCUUUGCAAAGUGAUGUCUCUGCUUUUUAAUACGCUGUCAGGGUUCACCAUAGCUUUUCUUACAAGGAGCAAGCGUCUUUUAAUUUCAUGGCGGCAGUCACCAUCUGCAGUGAUUUUUAGCCCAAAAAUAAAGUCUCUCACUGUUUCCAUUUUUACCUAUCUAUUUGCCACAAAGUGACGGGACUGGAUGCCAUGAUCUUAGUUUUUUGUAUGUUGAAUUUUAAGCCAGCUUUUUCACUUCCUGUUUCACCUUCAUCAAGAGGCUCUUUAGUUCUUGUUUGCUUUCUGCCAUAAGCAUGGUGUCAUCUACUAUCUGAAGUUAUUGAUAUUUCUCCCGGCAGUCUUGGUUCCAGCUUGUGCUUCAUUCAGCCCAGCAUUUCUGCAUAGAAGUUAAAUAAGCAGGGUGACAAUAUACAGCAUUGAUGUACUCCUUUCCCAAUUUUGAACCAGUCUAUCGUUACAUGUCUGGUUCUAACUGUUGCUUCUUGACCUGCAUACAGGUUUCUCAGGAGGCAGGUAAGGUGGUCUGAUAUUCCUGUCUCUUUAAGAAUUUUCCAGUUUGUUGUGAUCCACAUAGUCAAAGGCUUUAGCAUAGUCGAUGAAGCAGGAGUAUGUUUUUCUGGAAUUCCUUUGCUUUUUCUAUGAGCCAAUAGAUAUUGGCAAUUUGAUCUCUGGUUCCCCUGUCUCUUCUAAAUUCAGCUUGUAUGUCUGAAGUUCUUGGUUCAUGUAUUGUUGAAUCCUGUCUUGAAGGAUUUUGAGCAUUACCUCGCUAGCAUGUGAAAUUAGCGCAAUUCUGUUGUGAUUUGAACGUUCUUAGGCUUCCCUGGUGGCUCAGUGGUAAAGAAUGUGCCUGCAAUGCAAGGGCACAGGAGACACUGGUUGGACCCCUGGUUCAGGAAGAUCCCCCGGAGGAGGGCACGGCAACCUACUCCAGUGUUCUUGCCUGGAGAAUCCCCAUGGACAGAGGAACCUGGCGGGCAACAGUCUAUAGGGUCACAAAGAGUUGGACAUGACUGAAGCAACUUAGCAGGCACAUUGAAUAUUCUUUGGCAUUGCCCUUCUUUGGGAUUGGAAUGAAAACUGACCUUUUCCAGUCCUGUGGCCACUGCUGAGUUUUCCAAAUUUGCUGGCAUAUUGAGUGCAGCACUUUCACAGCAUCAUCUUUUAGGAUUUGAAAUAGCUCAGCUGGAAUUCCAUCACCUCCACUAGCUUUGUUCGUAGUGAUGCUUCCUAAGGCCCACUUGACUUCACACUCCAGGAUGUUUGGUGCUAGGUAAGUGAUCACACCACUGUGGUUGUCUGGGUCAUUAAAACCUUUUGGGUACAGUUCUUCUGUGUAUUCUUGCCACCUCUUAAUAUCUUCUGCUUCUGUUAGCUCUAUACUGCUCUGUCCUUUAUUGUAUCUAUCUUUGGUACAUGUUCCCUUGGUAUCAUUAAUUUUCUUGAAGAGAUCUCUAGUCUUUCCAUUCUGUUGUUUUCCUCUAUUUCUCUGCAUUGCGCAUUCAGAUGGGUAUAUCUUUCCAUUUCUUCUUGGCCUUCCUCCUCUUCUUCUUUUCUCAGCUAUUUGUAAGGCCUCCUCAGACAACCAUUUUGCCUUCUUGCAUUUCUUUUUCAUGGGGAUGGUUUUGGUCACUGCCUCCUGUACAAUGUCACGAACCUCUGUCCAUUGUUUUUCAGGCACCCUAUCAGAUCUAAGCCCUUGAAUCUAUUUGUCACUUCUGUAUAAUCAGAAAAGGUUUAAUUUAGGUCAGACUUGAAUGGCCUAGUGGUUUUCCCUACUUUCUUCAAUUUAAGUCUGAAUUUUGUAAUAAGUUCAUGAUCUGAGCCACAGUCAGCUCCUGGUCUUGUUUUUGGUGAUUUUUCAGGUCAGUCGCUCAAUCAUGUCCGACUCUUUGCGACCCCAUGAACCGCAGCAUGCCAGGCCUCCCUGUCCAUCACCAACUCCCGGAGUUCUCUCAAACUCAUGUCCACUGAGUAGGUGAUGCCAUCCAACCAUCUCAUCCUCUGUUGUCCCCUUCUCCUGCCCUCAAUCUUUCCCAGCAUCAGGGUCUUUUCGAAUGAGUCAGCUCUUUGGUGAUUUUUACCAUAAUAAAAUAAAAUUUUAGAAAGUGAAUUCAGGUGAAAGUCUUUCUUCAAGGGCAAAUUAACCUGACUUCAUUUUCCAGCUUCUAUUUAUGAGUCAAAUAAAUCUAAUAAUUUGAGAGUAUUUCAUUUUGCAAACCUGAUAUGAUCUAUAUCUCUAAAUCUUCUGCUAAUGGCUGUGAAUAUCCCUAAACUGUCUUAUGUGUGGAGGCAAGCUUUCUAGUCAUCCCCCCCAUAUCUGAAUAACCACAACAGGAGUCCUCAUUGCCUGUGCAUUUAUUAUCCAGUUUUCCAAUAUGAGAAACUAUAGGAAAGGAAGUGGUAAGAGAGCAAGGGCACUCUAGGCCUUCAGCUGGUUUUGCUCGAUGGGGACAUUGUCAAAGUCCCAGGAAGAGAAGCUAAGCACCCUUCAUAUCUGCCUGGUGUUGCAGAAGGAUCCCCACUGUCCUGGGCUUGUGAGGGUCCAUCACCCCCUCACCUUCUUGUUAGGUCAGUACAGUUUCUGCCCUCAGCACGUGUUCAGGAAACUUUUCAGUGUGGACACAAUGAUUAAUUUUGUCUUCGAGUUCAAAGGCUGGUUCUGUCAUUUUGAGUGACAGUCCCAAGAGUGCAGGACAAAAGGAAAAACCCCAAAGACUGGGACCCAGGCUCUCUGGCAAGGCAAAGAAGGUUCCAGAUAGGGCUGUGCGGUCUGAUCAGGCCUGAACUUGUAGGCUGUGCCCCCUGAAGCAUCUGAGCAUGUAAGGUCACAAACUGUCAUGAGCCACUAGGCAUUUAAAAUCUCUCAUUUAAACAGUGCCAACUUCCAGAUAAGAAUUUUUAGUUUUCUAGCUCCUUUUAAACACAGUCGGUAUUUCUUACUGUUUGGGGACAAUAAAAUUGUAACGGCUUCUUCCUUUGUAGAGAGUUAAGAAUCUGCCCGGAUUUUCAGGGACUUCAUGCUCUCCAGCAGUGGUUUUAAAUUUUUGUUUUUCUGUGUUUGUUUGCUUUUAAUCCAAAGUGCGUUAUGUGGCUUGUCAUCUAAAUGGUUCUCUCUAUCUGGUGUGUUGUUCUUAACGAUCCUCUGUAGCAUGCUUUCCAUUUCUCACUCCCCAAUCACCAGAAGUUAAUAACAGUAGAACUCUAAACAAAUGAGCCAUUAUUUCCAAGGGACCGUUUCUGCCAGCAUUAGAUUAUUUCUGUAUUGUAUGAGAUGGUUGCCUAGGAGGCUUUUAUUUUCAGUAACCACAGUUUUUGUUGUUCCUUGAUUUUAUGGAUGGUAGAAAACAGUUUUGGAGUCUACAUAGAAAAAUUGUCUUUAAAAUCUUCAGCUACACAGCAUAUGAUUUCCUAUAAAUUUCGUACUGUGAAGAAAAGAAGAGCCUUUUAAUGGACGUAAUCACAGGAGCUUUAAUACAAAGCUUGUAGUGGAGAGAGAUUCAGUAAGCUAGAUCCUAUAUCUUAGAGCCCCUUUAAGCUCAGUGGAUGAACUAACUAUAAUACUAUGAUUUCAGCCUGUAGACAGUAAUUUUUCCAGACUGUUUAUUCACUUGAGAAAGUCUCUAAUGAUGGGAAAUGACUCUUAACUGAUGAGGUAACUAUUUUUUGCAGAUCAAAAAUGGUAGAAAGGCAGCAGUUUUAUAGGUCCAAUUUUAUAGAAGACUUAAAAUGAUAGUUUUUUUUUUUUAAAGGACAAUGCUUGAUGCAUUCAAAGACCUGGAGAAGUGGGAGAGAUGGGAACUAUAGAAAUAAUACAGAGCGAUUGGGUGACCAGGGGCUGAGUCUCCAAUGUCUGCUCUGCUGCAUUAGUUCAAAGUUCAGCGCUCUCAGCUUUCACGGAACAUUUACAGCGAGCUCGUUACUGUGCUAAUUAACCCCUGUGUGAUCUACAUAUGCUGUUUAGAGAUACAGUCUAUCAGGAAUCUGUAAGGUUUUAGGACAGGCAAUAAUCCAAGGUGUUUUUAUCUUGUUUAUAUACGGGCUUCCCUGGUGGCUCAGAUGGUAAAGAGUCUGCCUACAGUGUAGGAGACCUGGGUUUGAUCCCUGGGUCGGGGAGAUCCCCUGGACAAGGAAAUGGCAACCCACUCCAGUAUUCUUACUUGAAAAAUUGGGCUUCUCUGGUGACUCAGACGGUAAAGAAUCCGCCUGCAGUGCAGGAGACCUGAGUUCGAUCCCUGGGUUGGGAAGAUCCCCUAGAGGUGGAAAUGGCAAUUCACUCCAGUAUUCUUGCCUGGAGAAUCCCCAUGGACAGAGGAGCCUGGUGGGCUACAGUCAACGGGGAAGCAAAGAGCCGGACACGACUGAGCAACUAAGCACAGCACAUAGUGGAUUAUAAUGUUGCGUUAAUUUCUGCUGUACGGCAAAGAGAUUCAGCUCCACACAUAUGCAUUCUUUUUAAUAUUCUUUCCCAUUAUGGCUUGUCGCUUUGUUUUUCACUUUCAGAGAUGAGGGAACUGAGGUUCCUGUAGCUAAAAUCACUAAUGAGGCCAGACAACAUUUAAGCCACGUCUGAUGCUGAUAUUUCUGCCCUGAAUCGUUAUGCCGUUUUUGUCUCGUGACCAGAAAGCAGGAGAAAGCCUGGGUGUUGGGGAGUUUUGUGGGGGCUCUGCUUUGUGUGUUAUCAAGAAGGAAUCUACCGCCAGAGGAAAUUCUACGGGGUUUCUCUUUUUCAGGCUACUCUUCUUUCUGCAUCAGAGCAUUAAAACCACCAGGUGUCAGCCUUGCAGAUUUUAAAGAAAUCAUCUUUUUCCUGCUGUACCCCAUAGAUUUUUUUUAUUACAGCUCAGUGGUGAAGUGGUAAAGAAUCUGCCUGCUAAUUCAGAAGACCAGAGUUUGAUCCCUGGGUCGGGAAGAUCCACUGGAGAAGGAAAUGGCAACCCACUCCAGUAUUCUUACCUGGGAAAUCCCAUGGAUAGAGGAGCUUGGUGGGCUACAGUCCAUGGGAGUCAGACAUGUCUUAUUGACUCAACAGCAUUACAGUUAGAGGUUCAGUUACAAAUGCCAGUAUUUAUUUUUCUAUCUAGGAUGCAUCAGAAGUAGAUAACAUAGCUCAGCUACAAGAGUUAUGGUUGGAUGGGAAUGGGGCAGGAGAAUGCUAGGGAGACAAGUUUUCCUUUCCUCUUCUUGGUAAAAGUGUUAGUCGCUCAGUUGUGUCCAACUGUUUGCAACUCCAGGGACUGUAGCCCUCCAGGCUCCUCUGUCCAUGGAAUUCUCCAGACAAGAAUACUGGAGUGGGUAGCCAUUUCCUUCUCCAGGAGAUCUUCCCAACCCAAAGAUCAAACCCAGGUCUCCUGCAUUGCGGGUAGAUUCUUUCCACUCUGAGACACUAGUGGGAUUGUCUUCAUUUCAUUCCAGGGUCCUGGGGCAUUAAGAGCAUUUUAGAAGAUGCUGGAUGAUAAACUCUCCCAAAUCGCCAUAUUUCCUUUUCCAACUUAUAUCCAAUUCAUAUUGUAAAAAUAGAAAUACAGAUGUAUUAUACGAAGGGACACAAUGUUUUCUGAAAACAGAGGAGAGAAAAGGCUUCAAAUUUUUUUUAAUUUAAAUUUAGUUUUUAUUGGAGUAUAGUUAAUUUAAUAUAUUGUGUUAGUUAAGAGAAUCAGUUACACAUGUGUAUACAACCAUUCUUUUUAAGAUUCUUUUCCCAUAUAGGCAAUUACAGAGGGCUUCCCUGAGGGCUCAGCUGGUAAACAAUCUACCUGCCAAGCAGGAGACCCCAGUUCAAUUCCUGGGUUGGGAAGAUCCCCUGGAAAAUGGAACAGCUACACACUCCAGUAUUCUUUUCCCAUACAGGCCAUCACAGAGUAUUGAGUAGAGUUCCCUGUGCUAGGCAGUAGGUUCUUACCAUAGGUUAGUUAUCUGUUUUAUACACAAUAGUGUUAAUAUGUCAAUCCCAAUUUCCCAAAUUUAUCCCCCACUUCCCCACUUGGUAUCCAUACAUCCAUUCUCUAUGCCUCUGUCUGUCUUUAUUUCUGCUUUGCAAGUAAAUUCAUCUGUCUUAUUUUUCUAGGUUCCACAUAUAAGGGAUAUUAUUAGAUAUGUUUUUCUCUUUCUGAUUUAAUUCACUUUGUAUGACAGUCUCUGGGUCCAUCGACAUCUCUGUAAUUUGCACAAAUUUGUCCCUUUUAUGGCUGAAUCAUAUUCCAUUGUAUAUAUGUAUCAUGUCUUUAUUCUUCUAUUGAUGGACGUUUAGGUUGCUUCCAUGUCUUGGCUAUUGUACUGAACACGGGAAUGUUCAGUACAAAUAAACACAGUACAAAUGAACACGGGAGUGCGUGUAGUUUUUAAAUUAUGGUUUACUCCAGGUUUAUACCCAGGGUUUACUCCAGGUUUAUGGCCAGUGGUAGAAUUGCUAGGUCAUAUGGUAAUUCUGUUUUUCCUUUUUUAAGGAACCUCCAUAGUAGCCUCGAUAGUGGCUGUAUCAGUUUCCAUUCCCAUCAACAGUGUAAGAGGUUUCCCUUUCCCCUGUACCCUCGCCGGCAUUUAUUGUUUGUAGAUUUUUUUUUUUGAUGGCUAUUGUGACAGGCGUGAGAUGAUGCCUCACGGUAGCUUUGAUUUGCAUUUCUCUAGUAAUUAGUGAUGUUGAGCAUCUUUUCAUGUUUGUUGGCCAUCUGUAUAUCUUCUUUGGAGAAAUGUCUAUUUGGGUCUUCCAUCCAUUUUUUCAUUGAGACUUUUCUUGAUAUUGAGUUUCUUGAUCUACUUGUAUAUUUUUGAGAUUAAUCCUUUGUCAGUUGCUUCAUUUGCAAAUAUUUUCUCCCAUUCUGAGGAUUUUCUUUUUGACUUGUUUAUGAUUUCUUUUGAUGUGCAAAAGCUUUUAAGUUUAAUUAGGUCCCAUUUGCUUAUUUUUGGUUUUAUUUUCAUUACUCUAGGAGGUGGGUCAAAAAAGAUCUUGCUUGGAUUUUAUGUCACAGUGUUCUGCCUAUGUUUCCCUCUAAGAAUUUUACAGUAUCCGGCCUUAUAUUUAGGUCUUAAUAUUUUUGUGAUUGGUGUUAGGGAGUGUUCUAAUUUCAUUCUUUUACUGAAGAGACUGCCUUUUCUUCAUUGUAUAUUCUUGCCCCCUUUAUUAGGCAACUGUAGGUGUGUGAGUUUAUCUCUGGGCUUUCUGUUCUAUCCCAUUGAUCUGUAUUUCUGUUGUUGUGCCAGAACCAUACUUUUUUGAUGACUGUAGCUUUUCAGCACAGUGUGAAGUCAGGGAGUCUGAUUCCUCCAGCUCUAUUUUUCUUAAGAUUACUUUGACUAUUCAUGGUGUUUUGUGUUCCUAUAAAAAUUGUGAAAUUUUUUGUUCUGAUUCUUUGAAAAAUACCAUUGGUGUAUGGAUUGCACUGAAUCUGUAUAUUGCUUUGGAUAGUAUAGUCAUUUUCACAGUGUAGAUUUUUAGAGUCAAAAACAUGGUACAUCUUUCCAUCUGUCAUCUUUGAUUGUUUUCAUCAAUAUCUUCAGUUUUCUGAGUAGAAACUUUUGCCUCCUAAGGUAGGUUUGCUGCUGCUGCUAAGUUGCUUCAGUUGUGUCCGACUCUGUGAGACCCCAUAGAUGGCGCCCACCAGGCUCCUCCGUCCCUGGGAUUCUGCAGGCAAGAACACUGGAGUGGGUUGCCAUUUCCUUCUUCAAUGCAGGAAAGUGAAACGUGAAAGUGACAUCAUUCAGUCCUGUCCUCCAUCCAUGGGAUUUUCCAGACACGAGUACUGGAGUGGGUUGCCAUUGCCUUCUCCAAGACAGGUUUAUUCCUAGGUAUUUAUUCUUUUUGGUGAAAUGGGAUUGGUUCCUUGAUUUCUAUUUUCUGAUCUUUCAUUGUUAGUAUAUAGGAAUGCAAGAAAAUUUUGCAUAUUAAUUUUUAAAGAUUUUUCAUGUGGGUCAUGUUUAAAGUCUUUAUUGAAUUUGUUACAAUAUGGUUUCUGUUUUAUGAUUUGAUUCUUUCAUCUUGAGGCAUGUAGAAUUUUAACUCCCUCACCAGGAAUCAAAACUGCAACUCCUGCCCUGGAAGGCAAAGUCUUAACCACUGGACCACCACAGAAGUCCCUGUAUAUUACUUUUGUAUCCUGUCACUAUACCAAGUUCACUGAGCUCAAGCAGUCUUCUGAUAACAUCUUUAGGGUUUUCUUGUAUGGUAUCCCAUCAUUUGCAAACAGUGAUAAUUUUAGUUAUUUUCCAAGUUGGAUUCCUUUUAUUUCUUUUUCUUCUCUGAUUUCCAUGAUUAGGACUUCCAAACCUUUGUUGAAUGAUGGUGGCAAGAGUGAACAUUCUUGUUUUAUUCCUGAUCUUUGGAGAAAGUGCUCUCAAUUUUUCACCAUUGAGAAUGAUGUUGACUGUGGGUUUGUCAUAUAUGGCCUUUUUAUGUUGAUGUGGGUUCUCUCUGUGCCCACUUUUUGGAGAUUCUUUUUAAUCAUAAAUGUACUGAAUUUUGUCAAAAGCUUUUUCUGCAUCUAUUGAGAAGAUCAUAUGGCUUUUAGUCUUUAUUUUGUUGGUGAGAUGGAUCACAGUGAUUGAUUUGUGGAUAUUGACGGAUCAUUGUAUUCCUGGGAUAAAUCUCACUUGAUCAUGGUAUAUGAUCCUUUUAAUGUACUGUUGGAUUUGCUUUGCUAGUAUUUUGCUGAGGAUUUUUGUAUCUGUGUUCACCAGUGAUAUUGGUCUGUAAUUUUGUUUUUUUGUGACAUUUUGGUCUGGUUUUGGUAUCUGGGUAAUGGUGGCUUCAUAGAAUCAGCUUUGGAGUGUUCCUACCUCUGCGAUUUUUGGGAAGAGUUCCAAAAGGUACGUGUUAACUCUUCUCUAAAUGUUUAAUAGAAUUUGUCUGUGAAGACAUUUGGUCUUGAACUUUUGUUAAAAGAUUUUUAAUCAAUUUCAGUACUCGUGAUUGAUCUGUUCGUAUGUUCUCUUUCUUCCUGGUUUAUUCUUGGAAGAUUGCACCUGUCUAAGAAUUUGUCCAAUUCUUCUAGUUGUCUGUUUUAUUGGUGUAUAGUUGCUUGUAGUCUCUUAUGAUCCUUUGUUUUUCUGUGAUAUCCAUUAUAACUUCUCCUGAGGAAAGGCUUUUUAAAAACUAAGGCUUUGAACACAUCCCUAAUAUGUAGAUUUAUAAAUGUAAGUUCAGUUGUGAAAGGUUAGUUUCAGAAAAUUUAUAAGCUGUGAGAAUGCCUUUAACUUCCUACCUACCACGCACACACGCAUACACAUUCCCCCUUCAUGCAUCUAAGCUUGCCCUUUAUUUUGAACAUCUCAUGUUUGAGAGUUGAAGUUGGAUGUCUUUCUAAAUUUUUCCUUUAACCCAUUCUUCCAAAACAAAUCUAGUGAAGCCAAUGCAAUGCAGGGCUGAGAUGUGAACCAGUUUGGCAGAAGCAUGAGUUUCUGUAUGGAUCUAAUAUGGCUGGAAAAACUAGAAAUUUUCUUAGAAGCUUGUGGGAGAAACUGGCUCUCCUUUUUCAGGAGGUUGGUUUAUUGAUUCAUUCAUUAGACGAUUGAUUUUUUUCAUUAUCUCCUUUAAGUCAGUCAUUUUGCCAACAGUUGUGGGUACACAGAUGGUUUUGACGUAAUUCCUACCGUCAGUAAGAAAUGACAGUGGGAUUCAGACAAGUAGAUUGUCAAUGACACAAUAUUCAGGGGGCUAGAAAGGAGCGAGGGGGCAGAGGAUGCUACACUGCACCAUAUAGGGUCAGGUGAAGUAUCUGUGGGGCACUGAGUUAAGAGGUCUUCAUACAGAAACCUCACCCUUGGUGUCACGAUGCUGUCUACCAGGUACUUUCCUUCAUGUGCGCUAUUUUUGCAACUGAUAAAAUAAAUGCCUCCAGGUGUCUCAGUGGCAAAGAAUCUGCCUGCCAAUGCAGGAGACUCAGGGAUUGAACCCAGGUCUCCCACAUUGCGGGUGGAUUCUUUAUUGUCUGAACCCCAGAGAAGCCCUUGGCAUGGUAUACAUCAUCUUAAAUGGAAUUAGUCCCUAUCCUUCAUGUUUGUUUCCUAAUAUUAGGUCCAAGGACCAGCUACAUCAGCUCCAUAGAUGAUGCUUGUUACAAGUACAGGUUCGUGGGUCUCUCUUAGCUUUACUUAUUAAGAAUCCAUUUGGAUAAUGGCCCAAACAUGCAUUUUAAAAAUAAAAUUCGGUGAUUUUAUGCACAGCACAGCUUAGGGAGUACUGGUACGGCAGUUUACAAUCUUAGAGUACAAUUUGGCAUAGAUAUACAAUAAGGUAAGAACAUAAAGAGAAACAUAGGGAAUAUAUUUAACCCAUGAUAAUAAAUGUGGAUAAAAAUAAUGACACUUACUAUACCGCAGUUCCAGAAACCACUGAAACAAUUUAUAUUGAGCAAAAAUGCUCAAUAUAUGCCAAGAAGCAGCUAAGCCCACACACC
ensembl:lncRNA